rnacentral:rRNA from 1 species
CUGGCGGCGUGCCUAAUACAUGCAAGUCGAACGGUCUUUCUAUGGAAGCUUGCUUCCACUGAGAAGAUAGUGGCGAACGGGUGAGUAACACGUGGGUAACCUGCCCAUAAGAGGGGGGAUAACAUCCGGAAACGGGUGCUAAUACCGCAUAGUUUUCUUGAUCGCAUGAUCGGGAAAGGAAAGACGGCCUUUGUGCUGUCGCUUAUGGAUGGACCCGCGGCGUAUUAGUUAGUUGGUGAGGUAACGGCUCACCAAGACGAUGAUACGUAGCCGACCUGAGAGGGUGAUCGGCCACAUUGGGACUGAGACACGGCCCAAACUCCUACGGGAGGCAGCAGUAGGGAAUCUUCCGCAAUGGACGAAAGUCUGACGGAGCAACGCCGCGUGAGUGAAGAAAAGGUUUUCGGAUCGUAAAACUCUGUUGUCAGAGAAGAACAAGUUGGAGAGUAACUGCUCCAGCCUUGACGGUAUCUGACCAGAAAGCCACGGCUAACUACGUGCCAGCAGCCGC